CCCCUGGAGGACUAGUGGUUAGGCCUCGGCGCUCUCACCGCUGCAGCCUGGGUUUGAUUCCCGGCCAGGGAA
rnacentral:tRNA from 1 species